CCCUUAGAUGUUCUGGGCCGCACGCGCGCUACAAUGAUGAAUUCAACGAGUUUAUAACCUUGGUUGAAAAGCCUGGGUAAUCUUUUGAACUUUCGUCGUGAUGGGGCUAGACCCUUGCAAUUAUUGGUCUCCAACGAGGACUUCCUAGUAAACGCAAGUCAUCAGCUUGCAUUGAUUACGUCCCUGCCCUUUGUACACACCGCCCGUCGCACCUACCGAUUGAAUGGUCCGGUGAAAUCUUCGGAUUGAGACUUUGAUUUCUUCACGGAAAACGCUGUUUUAAAAAGUUGAUUAAACCUUACCAUUUAGAGGAAGGUGAAGUCGUAACA
rnacentral:rRNA from 1 species